rnacentral:rRNA from 1 species
CUACGGGAUACAGCAGUGAGGAAUAUUGCACAAUGGGGGGAACCCUGAUGCAGCAACGCCGCGUGGAGGAUGACGCAUUUCGGUGUGUAAACUCCUUUUAUAUGUCAAGAAAAUGACGGUAGCAUAUGAAUAAGCACCGGCUAACUCCGUGCCAGCAGCCGCGGUAAUACGGAGGGUGCAAGCGUUACUCGGAAUCACUGGGCGUAAAGGACGCGUAGGCGGGUUGGAAAGUCAGGUGUGAAAUCCUACGGCUUAACUGUAGAACUGCACUUGAAACUUCUAAUCUAGAGUAUGGGAGGGGGAGAUGGAAUUAGUGGUGUAGGGGUAAAAUCCGUAGAUAUCACUAGGAAUGCCUAAAGCGAAGGCGAUCUCCUGGAACAUUACUGACGCUAAGGCGUGAAAGCGUGGGGAGCAAACAGGAUUAGAUACCCCGGUAGUC